rnacentral:rRNA from 1 species
UACGGGAGGAUGCGAGCGUUAUCCGGGAUUUAUUGGGUUUAAAGGGUGCGUAGGCGGCUUAGUAAGUCAGCGGUGAAAUUUCGCAGCUUAACUGUAACAGUGCCGUUGAUACUGCCAGGCUAGGAUUUGGUUGCUGUGGGUGGAAUGUGUGGUGUAGCGGUGAAAUGCUUAGAUAUCACACAGAAUAUCGAUUGCGAAGGUAGCUCACAAAGCCAAGAUUGACGCUGAGGCACGAAAGUGUGGGGAUCAAACAGGA